CGGGUGAGUAACGCGUAUGCAAACUACCUUUAACAGAGGGAUAGCCCAUAGAAAUGUGGAUUAAUACCUCAUAGUUCUUUCGCAUGUAAAGCUCCGGUUAAAGAUGGGCAUGCGUGACAUUAGCUAGUUGGUGAGGUAACGGCUCACCAAUGCAACGAUGUCUAGGGGUUCUGAGAGGAUGAUCCCCCACACUGGUACUGAGACUCGGACCAGACUCCUACGGGAGGCAGCAGUGAGGAAUAUUGGUCAAUGGGCGCAAGCCUGAACCAGACAUCCCGCGUGCAGGAUGAAGGCCUAUGGGUCGUAAACUGCUUUUAUACACCAAGAACGACGGUAGUGUAUGAAUAAGCAUCGGCUAACUCCGU
rnacentral:rRNA from 1 species